AUGAAGGUGCCAGACAAAUUUGUACGCCUGUGGAACAAAAGCUAUGAUGACUGCCAAGUGGAGUGCAACAAAAAUUGCUCAUGUGUAGCAUAUGCUUAUGCUAAUCUAAGCACCAGCAACAUUGAUGGGGAUGCAACAAGGUGCCUGAUGUGGACCGGGGAGCUGAUUGAUGUGGAGAAGGGUCGCACCAUCGGCUAUGAGAACCUGUAUCUCCGCCUUGCUGCCUUGUCAAGCAAAGGGCGAAAGAGCAUCGUAAUAAAAGUUAUACCAGCAAUUUCAGCAAGUGUGUUGCUGAUACUUCUAUUGGCAUGCCUUGUAUGGUUCCGCAAGCUUAAAGGCAAACAUGACAAGGAAGGAAGAUCAAAGAGACUGAUAAUGGGGGGUUUGCGCAUUAGUGAUGGACUUGGAGAGGAAACUCAUGAACUUCCAUUUAUUAGCUUCGAGGAAAUAGUUGCUGCAACAAACAACUUCUCUAUGUCCAAUUUACUUGGAGAAGGCGGCUUUGGCAAAGUUUACAAGGGGCUCUUACAUGGCAACAAAGAAGUUGCUGUUAAAAGGCUGAGUAGAGGUUCUGGGCAGGGGGCAAUAGAGUUCAGUAAUGAAGUAGUUGUGAUUGCUAAACUGCAACACAAGAACCUUGUAAGGCUUGUCUGUUAUUGUGUGCAGGGUGAUGAAAAGCUACUUAUUUAUGAGUAUCAACCAAACAAAAGCCUUGACACCUUCCUUUUGAAUUCUGAAAAGAAGUCAAUGCUCCACUGGCCGACACGAUUCAAUAUAAUAAAAGGAGUGGCUAGGGGGCUACUCUAUCUCCAUCAAGAUUCAAGACUGAUGAUAAUUCAUAGGGAUCUGAAAACAAGCAACAUUUUGCUAGAUGGAGAUAUGAAUCCCAAGAUAUCUGAUUUUGGCAUGGCAAGAAUCUUUGGUGGAGAUGAGCAACAGGCGAACACUAACCGAGUUGUCGGAACAUACGGUUAUAUGUCUCUAGAAUAUGCAAUGGAAGGCCUCUUUUCUGUUAAGUCUGAUGUCUAUAGCUUUGGAGUGUUGCUCUUGGAAACUGUAAGUGGUCUAAGGAUUAGCUCAACCGAGAACAUCAAGGAGUUCCCCAACCUUAUAAUAUAUGCAUGGAGUCUAUGGAAGGAAGGGUUAGCAAUGGAUUUGGUGGAUCCUUCAGUUCCAGAGGGCUGCUCGAAUGAAGACGUUUUGUGUUGCAUCCAUGUUGGGCUCUUGUGUGUUCAGGAUGAUCCGGAUGCCAGACCACUCAUGUCAACCGUUGUAUCAACCUUGGAGAGUAGAAGCACACCACUUGCAAGGCCUGAUAAGCCACUGUAUUUUUCUCAGAGAAAUAAGGCAGCAAAGAGAGCAGACUACGGUGAGGACUCUGUGGAUAUGGAAGCCCUUACAGUACUGGAGGGGCGAUAG
rnacentral:rRNA from 1 species